UACGUAGGGUGCAAGCGUUAAUCGGAAUUACUGGGCGUAAAGCGUGCGCAGGCGGUUUGUAAGUCUGUCGUGAAAUCCCCGGGCUCAACCUGGGAAUUGCGAUGGAGACUGCAAGGCUAGAAUCUGGCAGAGGGGGGGUAGAAUUCCACGUGUAGCAGUGAAAUGACGUAGAGAUGUGGAGGAACACCGAUGGCGAAGGCAGCCCCCUGGGUCAAGAUUGACGCUCAUGCACGAAAGCGUGGGGAGCAAACGAGG
rnacentral:rRNA from 1 species